rnacentral:rRNA from 1 species
CCUACGGGUGGCAGCAGUGAGGAAUAUUGGUCAAUGGACGUAAGUCUGAACCAGCCAAGUCGCGUGCAGGAAGACGGCUCUAUGGGUUGUAAACUUCUUUUAUAGGAGGAUAAAGGCAUCCACGCGUGGAUGUUUGCAUGUACCCUAUGAAUAAGGAUCGGCUAACUCCGUGCCAGCAGCCGCGGUAAUACGGAGGAUGCGAGCGUUAUCCGGAUUUAUUGGGUUUAAAGGGUGCGUAGGUUGUUUGUUAAGUUAGAGGUGAAAGUCUGAGGCUCAACCACAGAAUUGCCGUUGAUACUGGAAGACUUGAGUGUAGUUGCGGUAGGCGGAAUGCGUGGUGUAGCGGUGAAAUGCAUAGAGAUCACGCAGAACACCGAUUGCGAAGGCAGCUUACUAAGCUACUACUGACACUGAGGCACGAAAGCGUGGGGAGCAAACAGGAUUAGAUACCCCUGUAGUC